AAGGUCAAGCGCGAGAUUAAUAAUCAGUCAAGGAGCUACUGUACCACAUAAAGUUGCUAUCAGGUCAAGCGCGAGAUUAAUAAUCAGUCAAGGAGCUACUGUACCACAUAAAGUUGCUAUCAGGUUGAGCAGUAGCCGAUGGUGAUGAAGUGACGAGCAGGAACUUCUUUUGUCUCGACAAUAUAU